CCCAGACUCCUACGGGAGGCAGCAGUGGGGGAUAUUGCACAAUGGGGGAAACCCUGAUGCAGCGACGCCGCGUGUGGGAAGACGGUCUUCUGGAUUGUAAACCACUGUCCCCAGGGACGAAAAUGACGGUACCUGGGGAGGAAGCUCCGGCUAACUACGUGCCAGCAGCCGCGGUAAUACGUAGGGGGCAAGCGUUAUCCGGAUUUACUGGGUGUAAAGGGAGCGUAGACGGCAAUACAAGUCGGAAGUGAAAUACCCGGGCUUAACCUGGGAACUGCUUUGGAAACUGUAUGGCUGGAGUGCUGGAGAGGUAAGCGGAAUUCCUAGUGUAGCGGUGAAAUGCGUAGAUAUUAGGAGGAACACCAGUGGCGAAGGCGGCUUACUGGACAGUAACUGACGUUGAGGCUCGAAAGCGUGGGGAGCAAACAGGAUUAGAUACCCCAGUAGAU
rnacentral:rRNA from 1 species